rnacentral:rRNA from 1 species
AGUUUGAUCAUGGCUCAGGAUGAACGCUAGCGGCAGGCUUAAUACAUGCAAGUCGAGGGGCAGCACAGGUAGCAAUACUGGGUGGCGACCGGCAAACGGGUGCGGAACACGUACGCAACCUUCCUUUAAGUGGGGGAUAGCCCAGGGAAACUUGGAUUAAUACCCCUUAAUAUUAUGAGAUGGCAUCAUUUUAUAAUUAAAGCUCCGGCGCUUAAAGAUGGGCGUGCGCCUGAUUAGGUAGUUGGCGGGGUAACAGCCCACCAAGCCUACGAUCAGUAACUGGUGUGAGAGCACGACCAGUCACACGGGCACUGAGACACGGGCCCGACUCCUACGGGAGGCAGCAGUAAGGAAUAUUGGUCAAUGGACGCAAGUCUGAACCAGCCAUGCCGCGUGGAGGAUGACGGCCCUCUGGGUUGUAAACUCCUUU